UACGUAGGGAGCAAGCGUUGUCCGGAAUUACUGGGCGUAAAGGGCGUGUAGGCGGGCUAUUAAGUCAGGUGUGAAAACUCUGGGCUCAACCGAGAGAUGGCACUUGAAACUGGUAGUCUUGAGUGCAGGAGAGGGAAGUGGAAUUCCUAGUGUAGCGGUGAAAUGCGUAGAUAUUAGGAGGAACACCAGUGGCGAAGGCGACUUCCUGGCCUGUAACUGACGCUGAGGCGCGAAAGCGUGGGGAG
rnacentral:rRNA from 1 species